rnacentral:rRNA from 1 species
GGGCCCGCACAAGCGGUGGAGCAUGUGGUUCAAUUCGACGCAACGCGAAGAACCUUACCCAGGCUUGAACAGCGAGUGACCCGCGACGAAAGUCGCCUUCCGCAAGGACACUCGUAGAGGUGCUGCAUGGCUGUCGUCAGCUCGUGUCGUGAGAUGUUGGGUUAAGUCCCGCAACGAGCGCAACCCUUGUCUGCUGUUGCCAUCACGUUAUGGUGGGCACUCUGCAGAGACUGCCGGUGAUAAACCGGAGGAAGGUGGGGAUGACGUCAAGUCAGCAUGGCCUUUAUGUCUGGGGCUACACACGUGCUACAAUGGCCGAUACAAACCGUCGCGAUACCGUAAGGUGGAGCUAAUCGGAGAAAGUCGGUCUCAGUUCGGAUUGUAGGCUGCAACUCGCCUGCAUGAAGUUGGAAUCGCUAGUAAUCGCGGAUCAGCACGCCGCGGUGAAUACGUUCCCGGGCCUU